rnacentral:tRNA from 1 species
GCCUUAUUGGUUCAGUGGCAGAAUUCUUGCCUUCCAUGCAGGAGACCCAGGCUGGAAUCCUGACCAAUGCA